UGGCAAUGAGGAUGAUCUUUUUUCAAUGAUUCAAAGUGAUUGAUUUAUACGCUAUUCUGAGCCGACC